rnacentral:rRNA from 1 species
GACGAACGCUGGCGGCGUGCUUAACACAUGCAAGUCGAACGGAAAGGCCCUGCUUGCAGGGUACUCGAGUGGCGAACGGGUGAGUAACACGUGGGUGAUCUGCCCUGCACUUCGGGAUAAGCCUGGGAAACUGGGUCUAAUACCGGAUAGGAGCCAUUUUUAGUGUGAUUGUUGGAAAGUUUUUUCGGUGUAGGAUGAGCUCGCGGCCUAUCAGCUUGUUGGUGGGGUAAUGGCCUACCAAGGCGGCGACGGGUAGCCGGCCUGAGAGGGUGGACGGCCACAUUGGGACUGGGAUACGGCCCAGACUCCUACGGGAGGCAGCAGUGGGGAAUAUUGCACAAUGGGCGCAAGCCUGAUGCAGCGACGCCGCGUGGGGGAUGACGGCCUUCGGGUUGUAAACUCCUUUCGCUAGGGACGAAGCUUUUUGUGACGGUACCUAGAUAAGAAGCACCGGCUAACUACGUG